CUCCUCCCCCUCCUUCCCCCCGCCUCCCCGACGUGGAGAGGGAGUGGAGACAGCGGGCGCUGCCGCCGCUGCUGCUGCCGCCCCUCUCCGCGCCGGUCCCGCCGCUCCGCGCCCUGCCACACGCCUCGCCUCGGCGCGGCCGGGCUCGCCUCAGCGCGGCUCGGCUCGGCUCGGCGCGGCACAGCGCAGCCCGCCGGCGCUCGCCGCCCCUCGCUCGGCACGGCGGGGCAGAGCUCGCCGGCCCCAAGCGAGGGGGAACGGUGCAACCUGUUGGCUGAGGCGGGCAACUGCAGCCGGCGCUGGGGCGCGGAGGGGCCGCCCGCCGCCUCGCCCGUCAGGGCGGCCCUCGCCCGCUCCCCGAGGGCCCCGGGCCGGUGCCGCCGGGGGCAGCGCGGCGCUGGGCGGGGGGGGCCCACGGGGGGCCCACCCGCGGGGUGCGGCGGGCCGGCGGGCGCCAGCCCGGGGUGACUGCGCUGAGGAAGCCGCCGAGGCCGCCCCGUUUCUUUCCUCUUUCACUUCCUCAACUUCCUACCGAGGGGGGCAGCGCCCCGGGCGGCAGCUCUGAGGCGGCCGGACCCCCCACCCCUCCCCACCGGCCGCUUCCACGGCGCCUCAGCGGCCGCCCCGCGGGGCCCGGCCCGGCCGUUCCCCCUCUCCCACCCGUGCCGUGACGGCUGGGCAGCCUCUGCCCGGGCUGCCCCCGCCACGGGGGAAGGGACGAGGGCCCCGCGGGGCAGCCGCCCCUCCGCCGAGCCAAGUUUGGGGCGGGGCCGCUGGAAAGUGGCAAAAAAAGCCCUGGGAAAGGCACCCUGGAGCUCGUUGGACAGCUCUAGAGGAGGGUGUGAGGUGGGAUGGGCGGCGUGGGGGCAAACCCCUGUAAAGAGACCCCAAAACCCCGUCAAAAUAGCUGAGGGAACAAGAAACGGAGGAGGCAGGGGGAGAGGCGCAGGUUUGUCCCCUGGCAGGCACUAAAAAGGAACCGGGUAGCGCGCCGAAGUUGGAUGUAGACCACAGAGGCAUCAGAGACCGAGGUGCUGAUGGUGGGACAUCCCCAGCAGCUGGGUCUGCCUGCUCCUGGGACAGCCCUGCUUCACCCCAGCGCCGUUGGAACAUGUUUCUGGGCAAGAAAAGACCAGAAAUUGUCAGUACAGAAGCAGACCUGGAGUUAAAAAUAUCAAUGAAGUAAAACAUCAAAGUAGAAAAUGCUGCUGCCUUGGAGAAGCGGAGAAAGAGCCAAGGGGGAAGAGGUUGCCCUUCCAUAGCAGAGCAAGAGAUCCUCUUGGUUUGGGCUUUCCUGGAACUGACAGAAGUUCAGGCAAACGGGGGGAAGAGAAACGGCGAUUGUUUUGUUUAUGAAGAUAACCAUCGUUCUGAUUUGGAACGAUUAAAUGAACUUGGAGAUAACGACCAGAUAAUGCUCGCACUGGGACUCUGUUGACAAGCAGUUAGUAUCUAGAAAUGGUUAUUAUGGCACCCAAUAAAUUACAUAAUACUGGUUACAUCAAUAAAACGUGGUUUUGUCUUUC